GUUCAGGAAAAGAGUUUUAGCUCUACCUUAAGCUUCUUGAUUACACCAAAAACCCCUUAAAACUUAAGAGCUAUUCAAAUAAGGCACAGCUUAUUUGAAAUAGGACACAACCUCCGACACCGGGUAAACAAGGGUGAUUCAAACAAAGUCGGCCUAAAAGCAGCCACCUUUAAAAAAGCGUUAAAGCUUAAUUUUAAACUGCCCGCAAUUUCCUAAAUUCCCAUUAACCCUUCACCACUACUGAACUAUUUUAUACUCUAUAAAAGCUAUUAUGCUAGAACUAGUAACAAGAAAUAGCCCUUCUCCAAAAUGUAAGCUCACACCAAAAUGGACAAUCCAUUGGUAAUUAACACAAAUGUUAUAAUCACAGCAACACACCUCUAGAAAACCCUGUGACCUCUUACGUUACCCUUACACUUGAACAUUUCAGGAAAGAUCAAAAGAGAAAGAAGGAACUCGGCAAAUCCUCAGCCCCGCCUGUUUACCAAAAACAUCGCCUCUUGACCAAAUAUAAGAGGUCCAGCCUGCCCAGUGAUAAAAUUCAACGGCCGCGGUACCCUAACCGUGCGAAGGUAGCAUAAUCACUUGUUCUCUAAAUAGGGACUAGUAUCAACGGCACCACGAGGGCUGCACUGUCUCCUUUCUCCCAUCAGUGAAACUGAUCUCCCCGUGAAAAAGCGGGGAUUACUAUAUAAGACGAGAAGACCCCAUGGAGCUUUAAACUCAUCACCCACUUCCUCACUCCUAUGCCCAAUCAUAUAAGGAACCUGUGUGAUAGUUUUGGGUUGGGGGGACCACGGAGUACAAUUCAACCUCCAUGACAAAUGGGCUACGCCUUAUCUACGAACUACAACUCUAAGAAUCAUAAGCUGAUGUUUAAUGACCCGAUAAUUCGAUCAACGAACCAAGUUACCCUGGGGAUAACAGCGCAAUCUACUUUAAGAGCCCCUAUCGACAAGUAGGUUUACGACCUCGAUGUUGGAUCAGGGUAUCCUGGGGGUGCAGCCGCUCCUAACGGUUCGUUUGUUCAACGAUUAAAACCCU
rnacentral:rRNA from 1 species